UCUUUACAUAACGGCGCGGGGCGGAAUGGGCUCGGGCCACCGCCUCCGCCCGGCCGCCCGCCUGGACUAUCGCAGCCCGCGGUGGCAACGGUGGCGGCACCAGCAAAGUUUCCCCGGCGGCGGCCCGGGGGCGCAUCCUCCCGCAACUGUCAAGCACUGGCGGCGGAAAUGAUGAGACGCUGGCCAUUUUCCGAGCCCGGGUUUCCUGCCUGAGCCCCGCUCGAGCGAGCCGCGAGCCAGGAGCCGGCGCGCGGGAGAGAACGUGCCCGGGGCGGGGGCCCGCCCGCCCCCUCGUGAUUUCGAGGGGUCGGGGGCGCGCGACGCCAUGGGCCGGCCGGGCCCGGACCCCCUCUCUCUCAGCCUGGCCACUCCACCUCCGUCACCGCCAUGAACGGGCCCACCCUGCAGCCCUCCUCCGCGCCCUCCGCCUCCUCGUCCGCACCCGCGGCCCCGCGGGGCUGGAGCGAGUUCUGCGAGCUGCACGCCGUGGCCACGGCCCGGGAGCUGGCCCGGCAGUACUGGCUCUUCGUCCGAGAGCACCCGCAGCACGCGCCGCUGCGCGCCGAGCUCGUGUCGCUGCAGUUCACCGACCUCUUCCAGCUCUACUUCUGCCGCGAGGUGCGCCAGGGCCGGGCGCCGGGGCCACCGGCUCGUGACUACCGGGAGGCGGGCCGCGGGCCCCCGGCCAAGGCCGAGGCGCCUCCAGCCGAGCCCGACCCAGGCCCCGCCGCCCCUGCCCUGCCCAAGGCCCGCAGCUCAGAGGAACUGGCCCCGCCGCGGCCGCCGGUGCCCUGCGCCCUCCAGCACCUGCGCCAUAGUCUCCGCCACAUCAUCCGCCGCCGCUCGGCUGGGGAGCUGCCUGCGGCUGGGGCCGCAGGGGAGACCCGGGCCAAGCCCAGCCUGGCCCGGAAGCUCCUGCCCUGGAGCCUGGCCCGGGAGCCGCCGCUUGAGGUCCUCAAGGAGGCCGUGCUGCGCUACAGCCUGGCCGACGAGGCCUCCAUGGACAGCGGGGCGCGCUGGCAGCGCGGGCGGCUGGCCCUGCGCGCCCGAGGCCCUGGCGGCGCGGACCGCGGGCUGGAGCUCUUCGACCCGCCCAAGAGUUCCAAGCCCAAGCUACAAGCAGCCUGCUCCAGCCUCCAGGAGGUCCGGCGAUGCACACGCCUCGAGAUGCCCGACAACCUCUACACCUUCGUGCUGAAGGUGAAGGACCGGACAGACAUCAUCUUUGAGGUGGGAGACGAGCAGCAGCUGAAUUCGUGGAUGGCUGAGCUCCGGAAGUACACAGGCCAAGGGCUGGAGAGCACAGACCCGGAGCUGCACGUUCCCUCCGCUCCGGAGCCCGGCACGGCCAGCUCUCCCAGGGGAAGCACAGAUUCCCUGAACCAAGGUGCUUCUCCUGGGGGGUUGCUGGACCCAGCCUGCCAGAAGACAGAUCACUUCCUGUCCUGCUACCCCUGGUUCCACGGCCCUAUCUCCCGAGUGAAGGCGGCUCAGCUGGUUCAGCUGCAGGGCCCUGACGCUCACGGCGUGUUCCUGGUACGGCAGAGCGAGACCCGGCGUGGGGAGUACGUGCUCACGUUCAACUUCCAAGGCAUAGCCAAGCACCUGCGUCUGUCGCUGACGGAGCGGGGCCAGUGCCGUGUGCAGCACCUUCACUUCCCCUCGGUCAUGGACAUGCUCCACCACUUCCAGCGCUCGCCCAUCCCCCUCGAGUGUGGAGCGGCCUGCGACGUCCGGCUGUCCAGCUACGUGGUGGUCGUCUCCCAGCCGCCAGGUUCCUCCAACGCUGUCCUGUUUCCCUUCUCCCUCUCUCGCUGGGAUUCCGAGCUGGGCCUUCCCCACCUUAGCUCCUCCGGCUGUCCACGGGGGCUGGGCCCGGAGGGUCUCCCAGGCCGCUCCACCCCGCAAGAGCAGAUCUUCCACCUGGUGCCUUCGCCCGAGGAACUGGCCAACAGCCUGCGACACCUGGAGUCGGAGCCUGCCAACCGUGCCCGGGACUCAGACUACGAGAUGGACUCCUCCUCCCGGAGCCACCUGCGGGCCAUAGACAAUCAGUACACGCCUCUCUGACGGGCAGUGGACUCCCAGGCCACAGGGGCCCUGAAGGAGCACAGCACGCAGACAGGAACUGGUUGUAAAGCAGAUCCGAUCCCGAUUUCCGGUCCAUUUCUAAGGACACUUACUUUCUACACACCAAGCAGGUUUCGCUAAGCAAAGCGUGAACCAGAGGAGCACACACUAUUUUGAAUGUCUCUUAAAAGAUAAAGCUCAUCACAAAGUCCAUGCUGACGAGUCACUGGUGCAGAAAAAGGGCAAAAUAGACAAUGAACCACGCAUACCCCCUCCCUCCACAUCUGGGCUAUGACCUCUUCAAGCCAGGGGCACCCACUUCUAAGCAGUCUCAGCAUAGACGUCUCAGGUAGUACGUACCAAGAGGCAGCAAACUAGUGGCUCAGCUCUGACCCACUGGCUGCCAAGUACCAGCUCAGAUUCUAAGAGAGCUGCAAGUCACCACCUCCAGGCUGCUCCAGUAUAAAUGUUCAAGGAAAACAUUUCCUUUCCAAACAUGUCCGAGUUACCAGGACACCUCAAACACACCCCACAGAAAGCCCUCCACAGCUGGGAAGGAGUGACCCAAGCCAGGCUCCUCCUUUCUGCUAGAGCAGGUGGAGCUGGAGGAGAGGGAGCAGUGGGUCCCUGGGCUGAUGCCCUCACAGUGACCCUGCUGGCUGUAGCUAGCUCACAGCAUGGCAGCACAUGCCACCCUCCUUCCAGUCCUGAUGUGACCACCGCUGGCCUCAAGAGGCCAAGCCAGCACCUCCACGGAAAGCCCGGCUGUGAGUGCCAAAGGGACAGUAAGUACCGCGACCGCUGCAGUUCUCUCCAACCAGACAACAGCCAGGGGACUGCUCAGCACCGUCACCUCCUGAAUCUGACUUUAACGAACUUUUACAAACUAACAGUCACCAGCACCAAAGAAUUAAGUCAACUAACCUGCCUUGAAUUUUAGACCAGCAAUCCAUAUGGCUUUAUCUGGUAUAAAUCUUCUGCCUCUGAUCAUUUCUGGACCGUGUAGGAAAAAGGAAUAGCAAUCAUUAAAAUCUUAGACCACAAAACACUAUUUUUAUAUAUAAAAUCAAGGCCUUGAACUCUUCCCUUCCCUAAGGGUUGCCUAAGAUUCCUCCAUUCUUUUAUUCAGGGCUGUCUCCUAUUGCAAAUGUCAUGUGAGCUCUAACAUCUCCCACAGGUUAGAGGAACUUGUAUAUUUUCCACUGCCUCUAACAAGGACACAUCUGUCACCCAGUGUUGGGCUGGAAUAAGCCACACAUUGUAACACACAGAAAAUGGGUUCAUCUUAUAUCAUUACAGGCAGAAGGUAUUUGGCAAAUUGUUAUAUAUUGUUUAUGUACUGUACAAGUAACUUAUUCUUGAAUAACACAAAUUUUGCUAUAAUGUACAAAUUGCUAUAUGUGAAUUAAAAAAUGUUUUCAGAAUAUUGA